rnacentral:lncRNA from 1 species
GACAGAGCGCGGAUUAUCCGUAGUUGAUUGACUCUAGACCGAGUCGAGUGGCAUAGUUGGUUAAGAUAAAGUAACCUUAGGAGAGAGUGGCAACUGUGUAUAAUAUGGCUAAGGUAUGAGCACCCUUGGUAAAGAAUAAAGAAUAAAGAAUAAAGAAUAAUAGAACGGCUAAUGCUAAAGUAUAGCAAUAAUAAAGAAUGUCAAAGAAUAAAGAUUUGCAAGUAGUAAGAAAUGACAAGUGAUAAAGAAUUGCUAAUAACAUAAUGAAUGGCAGAUGAUAGAGAGAAGAAUCAAUUAAAUCUACUUGCAUGGAUUUACAUAUUGCAUAUUAUGAGGUAUGAACAUGAUGAAAGUCAGUUGCAUGAAUUAUAUAUAUAUCUAUGGAUAUUUGUCGGACUAAUAUGUUGCAGUGCCUCCUUUGGACCUGGUAGGUCGAGCUUUUUCCUUGGAUAACCGUACCCACUAGAAACUAUGGACAAUAGUUCUCAACCUCGUUUUGUUUUUGGGGGUACAGGUUCACACGUGAGCGGUACGGCGACACGAGGAAAGGGCGUAGCUCCGUAGAUAGCGCCCUACCACCGAGACCAGAGAUAGUGGUACCCUGAGUCGGCUUAACUUAGGGUUAUGAAAGGAAAAAAAAACCAAGUUGGAUCUAAUUUGUAAUAAUCUUGUUUAAGCUAUAUUGUAUUUGGAAGCUAAAAAGAAAAUAAAAAAUGUAAUAUGUGAUGUAAAAUGUGAAUUGAGUUGAAUGCUUGUAAUAGCAUAAUAGUACUUAUGUUUUCAUACAUUCCUUAUGCAAUCUUUGUUGAAUGCUGUUCUUGGUUGGAACCUCGUGCAUUAUUUGGAUUGCGACGCCUUGGACGUACAGGGGAGACUCUGUCCGCGGUACAGGAAAAACCCUGUCCGUUCGGCAGUCUGUUGGCGUGCCAGAAUUCGGCCAAAGAAGCGGGCUUUGGGCGUGACAGAUAAGAUGGUAUCGGAGCAUAAAAAGAGUAUAAAGAGAACAUAAAAGGAAUAAUAGAAAUGGUUUAGUUGGACCUAGGAGACCCUAGAAUAGUAAACCAUAGAGGUUAAGGCUUGUGAGAGACGAGGACUUGAGACUUGUGGCGAAAAGUUAAUGAUUGGGUUAUGUUGUAAACCUCUAAGACGGAUGUUAGAGGUAGAUUCAAGGUGUGGUUUAUUCUCAGCCGGGUGUAUUCAUGUUGGCGUACGACAACAUGAACCCGAGUAAGGAGAAUAAACGCUUUUGUAUGACUUUCGCCCAAUUUGAGUCGAUGUUAAUUAUUUUGUGCUUGACCUAAAAGAGUUGAGGAUUAAUCGAGUUGUCAUGUUUCAGGAAACGAUGGCACCGCGUAGGCAAUCUUCGUCCAAAUCGACGCAGGGUGGGACAAGUGGUGUCCCCGAGCAAUCUGAGGCGAGCGGAGACUUGGAACUUUGCGAAUAGUUGGUCACACUUGUGGGUAUGGUGAGGCAACAAGCUGAUGUGGCGCAGCGACAGCAGGAGGCUGCUAUGCGCUAGGAGGAGCGAAUUAAGAGACUCCAGGAAACGGUAGAUCAAUUGGUGACUGCACCAGUUGCGGCUCGUCGAGGACGGCCGGGAGUUGCGGCGGAGAUCUCUUCGUCGGGGGUCGGGCUAUCCGACUCCUGAAAGCGCGUUGGUGGAGGCGGAGAAAGAGCGAGCUUUGGCAGCCCUCAUGACCUUCAUAAAGUUUGAUUCGCCUAUCUUCAAGGGAGAGAAUGUCGACCCGUGGAUCGUGGAGACGUGGCUUGACUCCAUGGAAACACUCUUUGAGGAGUUGUAUACCUUGGAGCGGGAUAAGGUGAACCUAGCCGUGCAUUGUUUAAAACUGUCGGCAAGGGUGUGGUGGAAAGGCAUUCGGCGGAACCGAUCGCCUAGUCUUCCUCCUAUGACUUGGGAUGAGUUUCGGGGAUUAGUGUUUUCGACUUACUUCCCCGACGUUGAAAAGAGACAGCUUUAUUUCUAGUCACGUCUAGUCUUCCUCCUAUGACUUACUUCCCCGACUUGGGAUGACUUGGGAUGAGCUUCAUUCGGCGGACUUACUAUACUGGUAGACUAUAAAGAUGGCAUUUUUCGUUUUAUUGAAAAUCAUAUCUAAUUGCAUAAUAAUACACCAUCUUUAGAAGAUUCGCUGUAGAAUGCCUUGAUUACUACAUUUUGUCAAAUAUACUAUUUUUGUUUUCUCAAAUAUAUUAUUUUUAGUUAUAUUCUAUUCGUUCCUCAUCUUUAUUUCUGGUCUCCUUCGCCACAAUUGGAAAGCUAUUUUGGCUCCGCCUAAGUCAUUUUAAUGUGUCAUAAUAUAAUUUCCUACCUAACUCAUUUUUCGUAUACUUUAUUUUACUUUUUAAAGUUUUUAAAUGCUAAUAAGUUUGUAUCUUUAUAACCAUUUAUCUCUUAUGUUAAUUGUGCAAGUCAUCGUCCUUCUGACACAUCGCUAUCAUUCUUACCGGUGUGACACAUCAUUGUCAUCGCCUUCACUAGCACAUCAUCAUCGUCACCUUUGCCAGCACUUCGUCGUCAUCCUACUCAUCAGAACAAUCAUUUUUUCUGAUAGUUGGAAAGGUAUUUUUGUCCUACCUGAUGUUUUCAAUCUAUACCUNUUGAACUAGAAUACUAUUGAUAGCAAAUCGGUUCUUUUGCCACCCAUUUGUUCUCGAUGAUGGAGCCUCCAAAUUGAUGAUCGGCACCAUUGAACAUGAUCUAUACCAUUUGAAGUAUUUAGAAAUCAAAUUUUAUACAUUUUCGAUAUUGUUCUCUUAUUCAUCAAGUGGAUACAAAAAUGAACGGCUGAAAAUGAAUAUUCUUAAAAAAUGAUGACAGGAGUCUUGUAAUCAAGAUCAAGAGUAUAGAUCUUGUUUUAAAUAGUUUAAAGAAUUUUCUAACAGAAAUUCAAUUGAUUUGGAUAUCUUUACGCCGUUAAAUGAGAAAACGCCUCAUAUCGACCAUUAAAAUUACAAAUUUUAAAACCCUUUGAUCAUUUGGCAAAUGAUGUCGAAAAAAUUUGAAAUUUGAUUUCUAAACACUUUAAGUGGCAUAAAUCAUGUUCAACGGUGUCGAUCGUCGAUUUGGAGGCUCCAUCAUCGAAAACAAAUGAGUGGCAAAAGAGCCCGUUUGCUAUCGAUAGUAUUCUGCUCAACUCUCUCUCUCUCUCUUUCUCUCUCUCUCUCUCUCUAUAUAUAUAUAUGCAUAUAAUACAAAUGUUGCAUAUAAUAUAAACACAUAACUUUUAAUUUUUCUUAAAAAUAUUUUUUUUUUCAAACUUCUAAUAGACGUGAAUUAAGUCCGACGAAAACUUAAAAACCAAACGAUAUUAAAUAUUCUUUCACAAAUAAAAAAAUUCUUUAAAAUUAUAUUAGGAAAAAAUUCAAAACAAUAUAAUAAUUCAAAACCAUAAUAAAUGGAAUAACUCAAUAUGCCAUACAACAUGGGUGACUAAACAUAUAUAGACAUUACACAAUUUAUUUAUUCAAAAAUAAUAAAAUAUUUUUUAAAAUUUUAAAAAUAUAAAAUAUUAGCAAUCUUUAAAUUUUAAAUAGAUCAUAAAAAAUUAAUAUGAUCAAAAUAUAUUACUAUACAUGAAGAAGAAGAUUUAAAAAAAUGCAUAGAUUCAAAAAAAUUUAUCUAUAAUUUAAAGUGCAUAUAUUGAGAAAAUGAUAUAUAUGUUAGAAACUUUAGGAGAAAUUCGGAUCGUACCUUCUGCCAUGAUUUCGAUUUCUGUACCCGAUUUGUAAGCGGUGAUUCUUUCUCGUAGUUCGUCCUCGUUCGUGAUCUGCAAGAAGACGGGACGUUUCGAGUCUAAUUCCCUUAUUCCCGGAGAUGGAGCCGUCACAGACAAUUGGAUUAGGAUUAGACCGGGACUCCCGUAUGUUACAUAUUUAUAUAUAACUUAAUGUAAGGAUGUUAAAUCACGUCCGUCCAUCAAGGACGUGUCCAGAUACAUCCUAACCGUAAGAUCUAAAAUAUCUUUAUAGAUCGACUUAAAUAGAUUGACCGUAUCUUUAUGGAUCGCCUUGAAUAUAUCACGUGGGCCACAUCCAACAUUCUCCCACUUGGCCUAGUGAUAUAUUUAUUACCGUAUAGGCGAUACAAAAANNNNNNNNNNNNNNNNNNNNNNNNNNNNNNNNNNNNNNNNNNNNNNNNNNNNNNNNNNNNNNNNNNNNNNNNNNNNNNNNNNNNNNNNNNNNNNNNNNNNNNNNNNNNNNNNNNNNNNNNNNNNNNNNNNNNNNNNNNNNNNNNNNNNNNNNNNNNNNNNNNNNNNNNNNNNNNNNNNNNNNNNNNNNNNNNNNNNNNNNNNNNNNNNNNNNNNNNNNNNNNNNNNNNNNNNNNNNNNNNNNNNNNNNNNNNNNNNNNNNNNNNNNNNNNNNNNNNNNNNNNNNNNNNNNNNNNNNNNNNNNNNNNNNNNNNNNNNNNNNNNNNNNNNNNNNNNNNNNNNNNNNNNNNNNNNNNNNNNNNNNNNNNNNNNNNNNNNNNNNNNNNNNNNNNNNNNNNNNNNNNNNNNNNNNNNNNNNNNNNNNNNNNNNNNNNNNNNNNNNNNNNNNNNNNNNNNNNNNNNNNNNNNNNNNNNNNNNNNNNNNNNNNNNNNNNNNNNNNNNNNNNNNNNNNNNNNNNNNNNNNNNNNNNNNNNNNNNNNNNNNNNNNNNNNNNNNNNNNNNNNNNNNNNNNNNCAAAAGAGAGAACUGGACCGAACACGAUGGUCUCUUGCGAAUGCGAGUUGGAUUGCCACCCCUAUUGUGAUGGCAUUAUUUGGCAAAAAAAAAAGGUAAGAAAACCUCAACUUGUUAUUUAAAAUAGAAUAGAUAAUAGAGUGUCAAUCUUUCGAGAUUCGUAUGUUUGAAUUUUAAAUGCAAUAUCUUUUUAAAUCUAUAGGUUCUGUUUGUUGUUCUCGAUUUUCAAUUUUAUUUUACAAACGGGUAUAUAUAUCAUUUUCUCAAUAUAUGCACCUUUGAAUUAUAGAUAAAUUUUUUUGAAUCGUAUGCAUUUUUUUAAAUCAUUCUUCUUCAUGUAUAGUAAUAUAUUUGUUGAUCAUAUUAAAUUUUUUAUGAUCUAUUUAAAAUUUAAAGAUUGCUGAAUAUUUAUAUUGUAAAAUUUUAAAAAAUAUUCUUAUUAGUUUUUGAAAUAAAUAAAUUCGUUAAUGUUAUAUAUUUGUCACCCAUGUUGAUACUGGCACAUUGAAUUCUUCCAUUUAUAUAUGGUUUUGAAUUAUUAUAUUGUUUUGAAUUUUUCCUAAUAUCAAUUUUUAAAGAAUUUUUUUUUAUUUGUGCGAAAGAAUAUUUAAUAUCGUUUGGUUAUUUAAGUUUUCGUCGACUAAUUCACGUCUAAUUAGAAGUUGAAAUAAAAAUAUAUUUUUAAGAAAAAUUUAAGAAGUUAUGUGUUUAUAUUAUAUGCAACAUUUAUAUUAUACUGCAUUAUAUAUCCCGCACGCGCGGGUAUAAGAGAGGAGAGAGAAUGAAGAGAGAGAGAGAGAGAGUGAGCACAAUAUAUCGAUAAGCAACGGCUCUUUUGCCAGCCAUUUGUUUUGUGAUGCCGCAGCUCCAAAUCGCGAUCGACACGUUCCUUGAAUGGACGGACGCUGAUUUAACAUCCUACAUUUAAGUUCAUAUAUAAAUAUGUAACGUAUAUGGGAGUCCCAGUCUAAUCCUAAUCCAUUGUCUGUGGACCUCAUUUCCGGGAAUAGGGAUUAGACUCGAAACGUCCGUCCUUCUUCCGCAGUCAGCGAACGAUGACGAACUACGGAAAAGGAAUCUCCGCCUUAAAAAUCGGUAACAGAAAUCGAAAUCAUCAGAAGGUACGAUCCGAAUUUCUCCUAAAGUUUCUAACAUGUGGUAUCAGAGCAAACCUUUUCGGAUUGUUCGAUUCUUUCCGGAUUUCGUUGGUUUUUUUCACAUUAAAGACAAUAAAAUCAAAUAAAUCGUCAAUGGUUUGCCGUUAUGGUAACGUCGGCCGAAUCUCAAUCGAGAACCGAACGGCCCCGCGUCACCGGUGCUCGCGCGGUCGAGCAUGGCACAUUUAGCGGCUCCAGAAUACUGCUUCCUUAGAGGUGGUGCACCAUAAGACACUUAAUUAAUUACGCAUAAGUUAUCAGGCUAAUUAAUUUAAGAUAGCCCAGUGCGUCUCCAUACAGUGGCUACCCAUGAGAGCCGUACGUGGCCGAAGGCUGCUUUGGUUGCGGCUCGCAUUAAAAAAAAAAAAAAAAAAAAAAAAAAAAAAAAAACGAUUGACGUUGGCAGCAUUAUGUGGCCCUCUAUUGUGCUAGCGGGGCCAUGAGGUCACAUGUAUGGUCCAUUAGAGGCUUGUGUGGCUCUUAUACGCUAGGCCGGGCCACGGCCGAUAAUAUGUACGGCUCAUUACGGGCUACACAAGCUUGCAGGAGCAUUCAUGGCUGCGGUCAACACCCAAAAAUUAUUUAUUUAUUUAUUUUUUAAUGAAAAGGAAAGUAUAUAUAAUGCAUGUAAUAUGGUUUAUAAUUUUCUUUAUAAGGUGACUUAUUUAUGAAGAGUCUAUAUAUUAAAGUUAUAUAUAACUUUUUGGUAUUUGUUAUAUAUAUUUCUGUUCUACUCGUUUGUUUAUUCAUGAUAUAAAGAGUAUGUUUAGUUUAAUAUUUUUACAAUAUAUUUUGUUUUUGCAUUAUUACUCUAAACAUAUAUAAGAUGAUCAUGAAAAUUUUAGAGUAAAGAAUAUAGACUUCAUACAGUUUAUAAAUUUUGAGUCACAUAAAGUUUAAAAGAAAAUUACUUUGGACUUUUAUUUUUCCGCUGCGUUUUGGAAUAAUGUGAAAUUUUCGGUCAUUCAUAUCAUAUAUGGACUUGUGAGAUUAACUAUGUUUAGGAAUAGCCACAGCAUCCUAAUCAUGUAUAUGAUCUCUUAUGGUAUUUUUAUAAGAUGAUAUUGAAUUAAAGUUAAUCCGAAAAUUCAUAUGGAUUCCCAAUUAUUUUAAAUAGUCAUUCAAUGUCAAUAAUGUCAUUCAAUGUCAAAUAAGCUAUUUAUAUUUUUCAUUAUGCUCAGGAGUAGCCACAGCAUCCUAUAGAUAAUGAAAAUAUAUAAAGAUAUAUUGAUAUUGAAUUGAAGUUAUUUGUAUUUUUCAUUAUGCUCAGGAGUUAGCCACAGCAUCCACUAUAGAUAAUGAAGAAUAUAUAAGGAUUUACUGAUAUUGAAAUAAAGUUUGACUAUUUAUUUGCAGUCAAAUAAAUUAAUUUCUGAAUGUUGACUGGAAUAAGAUAGUGCGAUUGAAUUUCUAGAUAGCGAGUUUCGCUAUGCCCACAGGUACAGAAUCUUGUUGUUUAGAAAUUAGUUUCUGCUAGUCUUAUUAUUAAAGUAGAUGAAUUCUAGCGUGUAGCACCUCUGCCCACAGGAAGGUAGAAUUUAUCUAAUCUAAAGAUUAUUAUCUAUAGUAGGCGAUAAAGUUCAAUAUUUUCCUUUGUUUUUGCAGCUUCUUCCUCUACUGCAUUUCUUAAUGAUGUUUCUCGUAUUCCUAUACUUACUGGGGACAAUUAUUCUGAUUGGAAAGAAAUAUUUCUUUAACUUUGGAUUAUAUGGAUUAGACUUGGCUCUGCGUAUUGAGCAACCCACCUAAACGGUAGUGGCCAAUGACUACACAGCUGGAAUCUGCGCAGGAAAGAGUGGAGCGAUCCAACAGCUUAAGUUUGAUGCUCAUAAAGCUCUAGAGUAUCAAAAAGCAUAAGGGGAUCAAUUCCAGAAUGUGAUAAAGCCAAGGAUUACCUAAAGCCAUUGAGGAGCAGUUUGUUAGCCCCUAUAAAGUUUGUCUCGAAAAGAAGGGCAUUGAAACUAUCUAUAUUUGUUAUGAAUCUCAUUUAGUUAAUGUUCCUAAACACACAUGGUGGAUUGACUUCUGGAACUACUGUCACAUAUUUAAAUACCAUACAGGGUUUUCAUAAUCUAAUGAUGUUAAGCCAAAUGAAAGGAUUUUAAUUAGCGGAGAAGAAAUAGAUGUCAAGUUGAAGCCGUAGGAAAGUUUAUUUUAGAGCUUAAAACUGGUUUUAUACUUGAACUUGAGGAUACUUUUUAUGUUCCUAAAUUUUCUAGAAAUUUAGUUUCUGUUUCUAAAUUGAGAAAUAAAGGUUUCAAAUUUUUAUUUGAAAAUGAAUCUUUUACUAUGUUCUCCGAUAUGUUAGUGUUGGCAAUGGUUGUUUGGUAGAUGAUUUGUACAAGAUUUAAUUUGAGUCAAUCUUUUUGAAAAUAAUUUUAAUGUUGAUCAUGAAUUGGUGUUUUAAAAGGAACCAUUAUUAAAGAAAACUCCUCAUUUUUAUGGCACAAGCGUUUAGUCAUAUCUCUUUAGAGAGAAUAAAGAGGUUGGUAAAAGAAAAGAUCUUACAAGAUCUUGAUUUACCGAUUUUGGACUUUGUGUGGAAUGCAUAAAGGGAAAGCAUACUAACACAAAUACACUAAAGGUGCCAGAAGGAGUUCUGAAAUUCUUGAGUCAAUCAUACAGAUAUCUGUGGACCUUUUCCUCUCCUUGUUUCAGAGGUCAAGAGAAUAUUUUAUCUCAUUUAUUGAUGACCAUUCAAGAUAUAGUAUCUCUAUCUCUUAUUUGAAAAAGCUGAUGGCUCUUGAUGCUUUAAAGCUUAUAGGGUUGAGGUAGAGAAACAAAAAUUGGAUAGGAAAAUCAAGAUUGUAAGGUCCGACAGAGGGGGUGAGUAUUAUGGAAGACAUACGGAUAAAGUUCAAAUGAUCGGUCCAUUGGUCAAUUCCUCAAAGGGAAGGCAUCAUUGCACAGUAUACCGAUGCUGGCACCGUCAGCAAAAUGACGUUGCGGAAAGGAGGAAUAGAACACUCAUGGACAUGAUAAGACAUCCGAUUAGUAGCUCUUUCUUCCAUCUUCUCUUUGGAGUGAAGCACUAAAGACAGCGGUGUAUAUUUUAAAUAGGAUUCAUCGAAGGCUAUUUCCAAAAACUCUUUCGAGUUAUGGAAAGGGAUGGAAACCUAGUUUAAUCACCUGCACAUAUGGGAUGUCCAGCUGAGGUGAGGGUUUAUAAUCCACACAUAAAAAACUGGACCCUCGAACGAGUCAGUGGAUAUUUCAUUGGCUAUGCGGUAAAUUCCAAAGGAUUCAGGUUCUAUUGUCCAAGAUCACCCAUCCAAGAUAUGUGAGGCAGGAAUGCUAAAUUUCUGAGGAUUCUGAAACUAGUGGAGUGUUGUUCCUCAAAAGAUGGAUUUUGAGGAAAUAAGGGAUUCAACUGGUUAUCCAUACAACAGAUAAUAAUUUAGUUGCUCUACCAGGAGGUCAAUUUUGACCAUAAUGCGAGAUCAACUUAAUUUUAGAGCAUGAAAAUGCUGAACCAGUUGAACCUCCCAUGAAGAGCUGUCCAAGAAGAACAGAUAAUUAUAGAGCCAGCUGCACAGAAUAAUGAAAAUUGCAGGAAGAGGUUGGCUUAAGAAGAUCCUCAAGACAAAAAGGAAUCGGCGAUUCCUGAUGAUUAUGUAGUCUAUCUUCAGGAGUCUGACUUUGAUGUUGGACACCAUAAAGACCCAUGGACGUUUUCAGAGCCAUGCAGGGAGAUAAAUCCUCCCUAUGGUAUGAUGCCAAUGAAGGAAGAGAAUGCAAAUCUAUGACGGAUAACAAAGUUUUGGAUCUCGGUUGAAUUACCAAAGGAGUCAAAGCCAUUCGCUGUAAAUGGGUCUUCAAGACCAAAGGGACUCUUUAGGUAACAUAAAACGACAUAAGGCCAGACUUGUUGCGAAGGUUUCACUCAGAAAGAAGGCAUUGAUUUAUCAUGAAACCUUCUCUCCGGUAUCUAAGAAGGAUUUAUUAAGAAUUAUCAUGGCUUUGGUAGCUCAUUUCGAUUUAGAGUUACAUCAAAUGGAUGUGAAACGCACAUUUCUAAUAGGGAUAUAGAGGAGAUAGUCUAUAUGCAACAGCCGAAGGUUUCAGCACGAUGAAAGUAAUCACCUUGUUUGCAGACUAAAGAAUCUAUAUACGGACUUAAACAGGCUUCCCGUCAGUGGUAUAUCAAGUUCCAUAAUGUACAUUACUACAUUUGCGUUCGUAGAAAAUAUUGUGGACCAGUGUAUAUACCUUAAGGUUAGUGGGAGUAAGUAAUAUUUUCUUAGUUCUGUAUGUAGAUGAUAUUCUGCUGCAAGUAGUGAUUUGAGUUUGCUUAACGAUACCAAAGAUUUUCUUUCUAAGAAUUUUGAGAUGAAGGAUAUGGGUGAAGCCUCUUUUGUCAUUGGCAUAAAGAUUACAGAAAUAGAUCUCAAAGGAUUUUUGGCGUCUAUCUCAGCAAGAGCCUACAUCGAAAGAGUUCUAGAAAGAUUUAAUUGUGCAAACUAUGCACCUACAGCUGCCAUCUAUUAUAAAAGGGACAGGUAUGAAUCUGAAACAGUGUCCUCAGAAGUGAUUUAGAACGAGACAUAUGAAGAGCAUACCCUAUGCCUCCUGCAGUAGGGAGCUUAAUGUAUGCGCGGGUCUGUACCAGGACCUGAUAUAGCUUAUGCAGUGGCGAUGUUGGUAGAUACCAAAGCAACCCUGGCCUUGAUCAUUGGAAAGCUGCAAGAAGGUAAUGAGAUAUUUACAAGGAAACAAGGAUUAUAUGCUCACCUACAGACAUUCUGACUAUCUUGAGGUGGUUGGAUAUUCGGACUCUGAUUUUGCUGGAUGCCGUGGAUUCUAGAAAGUCCACUCAGGAGUAUAUUUUCUUACUUGCUCAAGGUGCUAUAUCUUGGAGGAGCACUAAGCAAGAUACAGUUGCUACAUCCACUAUGUGAGGCAGAGUCAUCGCUUGCUAUGAGGCUCUGUCACAGGCUUUAUGCUGAGAAAUUUUAUCUCAGGUUUAAGAGUUGUCGAUUCUAUCUCAAGGCCAAUUAAGAUUUAUUGCGACAACUGCUGCAGUGUCCUUUGCCAAGAAUAGUCGAGUUACAGAUCGCAGAAACAUAUCGAUAAUAGUAUCUUGCUGUGAAGGAAUACGACAAGAAGAAGGUGGAUAUCCAACACAUUUGGGACUGAGAGGAUGAUUGCUGAUCUAUGACUAAAGCAUUGCCGCAAAUAAAUUCAAGGAUCAUAUUCAUCAUAUAGGUAUCUUGAGUCCAUUUACAUUUAAGUGUUUUCUUGCUUGUAUAAAAGACUUUAAAGACUAUUUUUAUUUGAAUAAGAACACAUUUUGUUUUUGCACAUAUGCGCAUAAAGUUUAUUUUGUACAUUAAAGUUUUAUUGUGCACUAAAGUGGGACUCUGAGUUGAACUUAUAAUAAGUUCAUACCGUUGUAACUCAUAAAGUAUUUGAUUAAGGAAUUCGUACUUUUGAUACAUGGAAGAAAGUGUUCAUCUUUUGGGGCAUAACCGCUAUGAUCAAAGUAUUGUGAUUUCUUGAUCAAGUGGGAGAUUUUGACUGUAUAAUUUAGUUGGUACCUAAUAAAAGCUUGCCGCAGUGGCCAGAGCGGCGCAGCUCGUACCGUGUAAUGCCGACGUCUUAUGACGAAGGAAUCUCCACGUGUAUCUUUGAAUUAAUUAAUCGUAUUCCAUAUCCGAUUAAUUAAUUCUACGGGUUCACGCACAGGUAUGUCACCGAUGGGUACUCUCGGCAUGCCACCGGCUUCCCGACGAAACCAACGCCGAGCGUAAUUUUUUUUUUUUUUUUUUUUUUUUUUUUUUUUUUUUUGCUAACUGCAACCGUCGUAAUACACCGGAGGAUAACACGAUCCGCCCCGGGUACUCCCAGUGUACAUACCAGGUAAUCUCCGAACACACCGGAGAAUAUGAUCCGGCCCGGGUGCCGCUAUUAUACAUGCCGAGUAAUCCCCGAUGUGUUCGAACUCAUAAGAUAUCACAGUGGAUUUAUCGAACCGUCUCGAUUGAGAUCGGCCGACGUUACCAUUAACGCAAACCAUUGACGAUUUAUUUAUUUAUUUUCUUUAAUGAAAAGAAAACCAAAGGAAAUCCGGAAAGAAAUGAAAAUCCGGCAAAAGGUUUGCUCUGAUACCACAUGUUAGAAACUUUAGGAGAAAUUCGGAUCGUACCUUCUGCCAUGAUUUCGAUUUCUGUACCCGAUUUGUAAGCGAAGAUUCUUUCUCGUAGUUCGUCAUCGUUCGUGAUCUGCAAGAAGACGGGACGUUUCGAGUCUAAUUCCCUUAUUCCCGGACGUAUAUAUAAAAAUAAAACGAUUUUUAAUUUAUUAUUUUUAUAUAUAUUAUAUAUAUUCAUAAAUAAAUAUAUAUAUUUAUAUUUAAUUUAUUUAAUAUAUUUAUAUUUUAUAUACAUAAGCUCGACAAUAGCUCGGCAUGUGCUCGCUCGAUUGGAGUCGAGCACAAGCCGAGCAAAUAAUUUGCUCGGCUUUUUAAAUCGAACACAAGCCGAGCAAAUGAUUUGCUCGCUAAGUUAGAGCUCGAGUAAAACUCGGCUUGUGCUCUACCGAGCGCUUACCGCUCAACCUAACGGUGGGGAUAUACACUUACCGUAAAAAACCGUUUUUUUUUUUUCCAUUCUUUGAGUGAAAACAUAUUUAUCUUAUCUAUUAUCUCACAGUUAGAAAAGCUUAAGCAUACAAACUGAAAAUUUUACGUUUAGAAAAGUUUAGAUAUCCUAAGAAAACAACAAAGCUAAAAGUUAAAAUAAAAUGUUUGACCCAUAUAUAUAGUAAAAGAGUUAUAUACGUGAAAUUUAAUAUCUAUUUAAAAAAACUUAGAUACGUAAAAAAAUUUAGAAGAAGAAGUACAUAUCAUUAUAUAAAACUAGUAUAAUUAAAAAAUACUAGAUAAAUUUUAAAUUUCUAACGAUUAUAAAAUAUAAAAAUUUUAAAAUUUUUUAUAAAAUAAUAAAAACUUAUUUAUUUAACACAUUACAGAUAUAUACAAAUCAGUGGGUACAACAUACCGUGUAACUCAAUAAGGUAAAUAAUACCAAAACUUAAUAAUAUAA